rnacentral:lncRNA from 1 species
UCAUGUUCAGGGAUGAGCGUGGGAAUUCUCUUGAUCUCUUUCUCUCGCUCUCUCUCUCUCUGUCUGUCUGUCUGUCUCUCUCUCCCUCUCUCUGUCUGUCUGUUUGUCUGUCUCUCUCAUCUCCACCUCUCUCUCCCCCUCUCUCUGUCUGUCUGUCUCUCUCUCCCCCUCUCUCUGUCUGUCUGUCUCUCUCUCCCUCUCUCUGUCUGUCUGUCUCUCUCAUCUCCACCUCUCUCUCCCCUUCUCUCUGUCUGUCUGUCUCUCUCUCCCCCUCUCUGUCUGUCUGUCUGUCUCUCUCAUCUCCACCUCUCUCUCCCCCUCUCUCUGUCUGUCUGUCUCUCUCUCCCUCUCUCUGUCUGUCUGUCUCUCUCCCCCUCUCUCUGUCUGUCUGUCUCUCUCAUCUCCACCUCUCCCCUUCUCUCUGUCUGUCUGUCUCUCUCUCCCCCUCUCUCUGUCUGUCUGUCUCUCUCAUCUCCCCCUCUCUCUCCCCCUCUCUCUGUCUGUCUGUCUGUCUCUCUCUCCCUCUCUCUGUCUGUCUGUCUCUCUCCCCCUCUCUCUGUCUGUCUGUCUGUCUGUCUCAUCUCCACCUCUCUCUCCCCCUAUCUCUGUCUGUCUGUCUCUCUCUCCCUCUCUCUGUCUGUCUCUCUCCCCCUCUCUCUGUCUGUCUGUCUCUCUCAUCUCCACCUCUCUCUCCCCCUCUCUCUGUCUGUCUGUCUCUCUCUCCCCCUCUCUCUGUCUGUCUGUCUCUCUCUCCCCCUCUCUCUGUCUGUCUGUCUCUCUCAUCUCCACCUCUCUCUCCCCUUCUCUCUGUCUGUCUGUCUCUCUCUCCCCCUCUCUCUGUCUGUCUGUCUCUCUCUCCCUCUCUCUGUCUGUCUGUCUGUCUCUCUCAUCUCCACCUCUCUCUCCCUCUCUCUCUGUCUGUCUGUCUCUCUCUCCCUCUCUCUGUCUGUCUGUCUCUCUCCCCCUCUCUCUGUCUGUCUGUCUCUCUCAUCUCCACCUCUCUCUCCCCUUCUCUCUGUCUGUCUGUCUCUCUCUCCCCCUCUCUCUGUCUGUCUGUCUCUCUCAUCUCCCCCUCUCUCUGCCUCUCUCCUUGACUUCGCCCCCCUUCUCUCCGUGGGCGAAUGGUGGACUGCACUGGGAAUGUUUGUGGUUC